AUCUAGUUGACGAGCCCUAAAUAGGAUGAAACGUGCGUCCUGGAC
rnacentral:hammerhead_ribozyme from 1 species